rnacentral:lncRNA from 1 species
CAGAUUUUCCAGAGUUUUAGGCUCUAGGGACCCCUUUGUUUGCUGUGUCUUAGAUCAUUGAGUCCCUACAAGAACCCUGUGAGGUUCGUCUUCUCACUACUCCCUGUUCCAGAGGAGCCAACCGAGGCUCCGAGAGGUGCAUCUUCAAGACAGAGCCAGUAGGGGACAGAGGCACCUCUGUGUCUUGGAGGGGGAUGGACACUCACCUUCUAACCAGUAGUUCCAAAAAGUGUGGCACAGUGAUAAAGUCCCAGGAGGGGCCCAGGCAGGUGGCAUAGGAGGAGAUGGGUUUAGUUAGAAAGGCUGGAACCAGGGACUCCCAACAGCUUCUCCCCAGUGCCGGGCUGGAAAGUUAGCAUCCUGCAGAUCUCAUUUUCAUACUAGGGGGACAAGGAGGGACAUGGGAGUCAGUGGUAACACCAUGGACCACCAGAGGAUCGGGAUCUGGAACUCACACCAAGAAGCACCAACCCUUCAGGGACUUGUGCAUAUGGAGAACCUGGGUGCCCAUGGUGAAAAGCGUUCUAGGCUUUCAAAGUAACAUUGCAUGUGAGGAUGGAGAAUGAUAAAACGAUUCCUGCCUUCAAGGCAUCGUCCCGGUGUUUGUCAGCUGUGGGGCAACAGCACCCUCUGUGUCAGCAACCUGCAUGAAGAGCAUCAUCCCUGCAAGUCCUCAAGGCCUGGGGAGGCCUCAUCCCCUCCUCAUUUCAGCAACAGCACACAGGACAAUACGCUCUAGAAGAACUCUUUGACUUAAAGGUAUAUGAUUGUUUUUGUUCCUUUAACAUGAACGUGAGUCUGGAGAAACAGCUACGGCCAUCCCAGCCCUGGCCAAGGGGAAAAUGCCGGAAGACUCCAGGGUGGGAGGAAGCGCGUCCCAAGGCCCAGGAUCUGCGAGGCGACUUGGGGAAAACGCAGGCAGGACCUGCUGAAGCUCACACCCGUGGACCACCCAGACUGCCUGCCGCUACAGGAUGCCCUCCGCAUCUCCCAGGACUUCUUUCCGGCAUCAGUGUGGACAUUGACCCCACUGGACUGCAGUCACAGUGGACUCCCAAGGGGCAGGAUCCACCUCUGAUGUUCAGUGAAGACUACCAGAAAAGUCUGCUAGAGCAGUACCAUCUGGGUCUGGAUCAAAAACUCAGAAAAUACGUGGUUGGAGAGCUCAUCUGGAAUUUUGCCGAUUUCAUGACUAACCAGUGUUCCUGCUCCAGCGUGGCUCCUGGACUGGCGCCAGAUGCUGGCCCUGGGGGUUUCAAUCCAAGCAUAAUUCAGUGAAGCAUGUGUUUGGCAGUGGGACCCAGCUCACUGUUUUAGGUCAGCCCAAGACUACCCCGUCGGUCAUUCUGUUCCUGCCGUCCUGUGAGGAGCCCCAAGCCAACAAGGCCACACUGGUGUGUCUCAUGAAUAACUUUAUCCGGGAAUCUUGAUGGUGACCUGGAAGGCAGAUGGUACCCUCAUCACCCAGAGCGUGGAGAAGACCACGCCCUCCAAACAGAGCAACAACAAGUACGUGGCCAGCAGCUACCUGAGCCUGACGCCCGAGCAGUGGAGGUCCCGCAGAAGCUACAGCUGCCAGGUUAUGCAAGAAGGGAGCACCGUGGAGAAGUCAGUGGCCCCUGCAGAAUGUUCAUAGGUUCCAGCCCCCACCCCACCCACAGGGGCCUGGAGCUGCAGGAUCCCAGGGGAGGGGUCUCUCUCUGCAUCCCAAGCCAUUCAGCCCUUCUCGCUGUACCCAGUAAACCCUCAAUAAAUAUCUUUGUCAGC